rnacentral:tRNA from 1 species
GCCCAGAUGGCCCAAUGGUACGGCGCCAGCCUGCUAACUACAGUUUCUCUUUAGAAAAGAGAAACUCUAGGAAGGUAGAAAAACUACUUUACCUAUGAGUAGAUAGAGAGUUGGUUUCCGCAAGGAUCUCCCGGUUCGAUUCCGGGUCUGGGCG